rnacentral:misc_RNA from 1 species
GUAUUUAGAAUUAUUUAUUCAAAAUAUCUUCAGACAAAAAAGUUUCAAUAAAGGGUUGGUAUUAUGCUGACGCGACGCGUGAACGACGAUGUCAGCAAACAUUGCACACAAGGUGAAUACUGAUUUUUAAAAAGUGCAGUAAAACACUUAUUAUGAAUGAUCCUUCCGCAGGUUCACCUACGGAAA